AUUGAACGCUGGCGGCAGGCCUAACACAUGCAAGUCGAACGAGUGGCGGACGGGUGAGUAAUGUCUGGGAAACUGCCUGAUGGAGGGGGAUAACUACUGGAAACGGUAGCUAAUACCGCAUACCAUCGGAUGUGCCCAGAUGGGAUGAGCUAGUAGGUGGGGUAAAGGCUCACCUAGGCGACGAUCCCUAGCUGGUCUGAGAGGAUGACCGGCCACACUGGAACUGAGACACGGCCCAGACUCCUACGGGAGGCAGCAGUGGGGAAUAUUCGGCAAUGGGCGAAAGCCUGAUGGAGCAACGCCGCGUGUAUGAAGAAGGUCUUCGGGUUGUAAAGCACUGUCAUCGGGGAGGCGUUACCCACAGAAGAAGCACCGGCUAACUCCGUGCCAGCAGCCGCGGUAAUAC
rnacentral:rRNA from 1 species